rnacentral:tRNA from 1 species
UAUUUAAAUAGUUUAAAAAAAAUAUUGGUUUGUGGUUCCAAAGAUAUAUUUAUAUUUUAAAUAA